UAAAGACCUUAAACAUAUUUAAAUCUAAAUUUUAAGGUAAUAGAAGAUGAUACACUUUUUUUCCUUUUCUUUAUUCUAAAAAAAUUGUUUUAUUUUGCACAUAUAUUUUCCUCGAAGACAUCCUAGUUAAUUACUUAGAUCUUCAUAUAUUCCUAUAUAAGGCAUAACGUUGAGAAAUGCUCAUCAUUUUGCCGAUGCCUCUCAUUUCUAGAAUCUAUGAUUCUAUAUCAUCAUCAUCAUCUAUAACGAUAAUUUCAUCCCUCACCAUCAUCAUCAUAGGCUUCCACCACAUCUUCACCAUCCCAAUCAUCAUCGUUAUUAUCCGCAAUCAUUUUUCUCCCCCAAAAUGUCUGCAAAUGUUUGCAACAAUUUAGAAACAUAAACAUAAUACUUAUAAAAAGAACACAUGACAUUCAGGUCAAAAGACAGCAAUUACCUUUUUUUUUUAGAGAGAAACAGCAGCAGCAACGUUACCUGUUGCAUGAAGCCUCUCCCUCUACACACAAUAGUUGAUCCUGACAACCCAAAAGUCGUGUGCUGCAUUUAAAGCACGGGUACCAUUUGGUGAUGUAAAUAAGAAAUUAUAACUAUACAAUUACGUGCUUUUUAAUCAAUAAUUUUGAAUACUACUAGAAUACACAAUUUUCAAAAGAUGAUCCAACACAAUAACUAUUUGCACCUAGUGCAAGUAUGCAUUGACUAUCAGUAGUUAGUUAGUUUAGUUCCUGAAAAUAUGAAUCCUUUCU
rnacentral:lncRNA from 1 species